AUGUCGUGAUGAGGACACUUUCUAAUAAGAUCCUUCAACCUCUCCCAGGACUCAUGGAGAGACUCAUUAUCUAGCUGAUAGAAGUUAUUAAUCUGUCCUUGCAGCUU